rnacentral:rRNA from 1 species
AGAGUUUGAUCCUGGCUUAGGAUGAACGCUAGCGACAGGCUUAACACAUGCAAGUCGAGGGGCAGCAUAAAAGUAGCAAUACUUUGGUGGCGACCGGCGCACGGGUGAGUAACGCGUAUGCAACCUACCUAUCAGAGGGGAAUAACCCGGCGAAAGUCGGACUAAUACCGCAUAAAACAGGGGCACCGCAUGGUGAUAUUUGUUAAAGAAAUUCGCUGAUAGAUGGGCAUGCGUUCCAUUAGGUAGUUGGUGAGGUAACGGCUCACCAAGCCGACGAUGGAUAGGGGAACUGAGAGGUUGGUCCCCCACACUGGUACUGAGACACGGACCAGACUCCUACGGGAGGCAGCAGUGAGGAAUAUUGGUCAAUGGGCGAGAGCCUGAACCAGCCAAGUCGCGUGAAAGGAAGAAGGAUCUAUGGUUCGUAAACUUCUUUUGCAGGGGAAUAAAGUGCAGGACGUGUCCUGUUUUGUAUGUACCCUGAGAAUAAGGAUCGGCUAACUCCGUGCCAGCAGCAGC